GGCUUUUUCCCUCCCCUCGUUGCUCCCUGUGGGUGCUCAGAGAGGGAAAAUUUGGGGAAUUUCACCCUAAAAUAUUCUGGAUUUGGUUUUCCCAAAUUUUCCCUUUUUUUCCCAAAUUUUUCCAAUUUUUUCCUGAUUUUUUUCCCAUUUUUUUCUCCCAAUUUUUCCCAAUUUUCCCCAUUUUUGCCCUUUUUUUUUCCCUUCGUUGCUCCCUAUGGGUGCUCAGAGAGGGAAAAUUUGGGGAAUUUCACCCUAAAAUAUUCUGGAUUUGGUUUUCCCAAAUUUUCCCUUUUUUUCCCAAUUUUUCCCUUUUUUUCCCAAAUUUUUCCGAUUUUUUCCUGAUUUUUUUCACAUUUUUUUCUCCCAAUUUUUUGCUUUUUUCCCCCUUUUUGCCCUUUUUUUUUCCCUCCCCUCGUUGCUCCCUAUGGGUGCUCAGAGAGGAAAAUUUGGGGAAUUUCAGCCUAAAAUAUUCUAGACUUGGUUUUACCAAAUUUUCCCUUUUUUUCCCAAAUUUUUUCCCAAUUUUCCCAAUUUUUUCCGAAAUUUUUCCCCCAAUUUUUCCCUUUUUGUUUUCCCAAUUUUUCACUUUUUUCCCCAUUUUUCCCUCCCCUCGUUGCUCCCUAUGGGCGCUCAAAGAGAGAAAAUUUGGGAAUUUCAGCACAAAAUAUUCUAGAUUUGGUUUUCCCAAAUUUUCCCUUUUUUUCCCAAUUUUUCCCUUUUUUUCCCAAAUUUUUCCGAUUUUUUCCUGAUUUUUUUCCCAUUUUUUUCUCCCAAUUUUUCCCAAUUUUCCCCAUUUUCGGCCCUUUUUUUUCCCCCCUGGUUGCUCCCUAUGGGUGCUCAGAGAGGAGAAAAUUUGGGAGUUUCAGCCUAAAAUAUUCUAGAAUUGCUUUUCCCAAAU
rnacentral:lncRNA from 12 species